rnacentral:rRNA from 1 species
AUUGAACGCUGGCGGCAGGCCUAACACAUGCAAGUCGAGCGGGGUUUUCGGACCUAGCGGCGGACGGGUGAGUAAUGCGUAGGAAGCUGCCCGAUAGAGGGGGAUACCAGUUGGAAACGACUGUUAAUACCGCAUAAUGUCUACGGACCAAAGUGUGGGACCUUCGGGCCACAUGCUAUCGGAUGCGCCUACGUGGGAUUAGCUAGUUGGUGAGGUAAUGGCUCACCAAGGCGACGAUCUCUAGCUGGUUUGAGUGGAUGAUCAGCCACACUGGAACUGAGACACGGUCCAGACUCCUACGGGAGGCAGCAGUGGGGAAUAUUGGACAAUGGGCGCAAGCCUGAUCCAGCCGUGCCGCGUGUGUGAAGAAGGCCUUCGGGUUGUAAAGCACUUUCAGCGAGGAGGAAGGGUGGUGUGUUAAUAGCACAUCAUUUUGACGUUACUCGCAGAAGAAGCACCGGCUAACUCUGUGCCAGCAGCCGCCGUAACAC